UAUUUUAAAAUACCCAAUCUACCUCUACACUGAGAGGACUGUUAUUUUUGUUUAGUUCAUAACUCACUAACAGUUUAAUGUUUCCUUUUUUUUUUUAGGUGAAUGCCGCUCAAAAAUCUGUCGUUCGAUUAUAAUAAAUAUUACAUAACAAUCGUUGCCAUCUCCGUACAUGAGUUUGUGUUUAUUGAUGUUGGCCGCCACCAUUAAUCCACCUUAAAGUCCUAUAGGCGUGCGCGUUACGAUAAUAAUUACCUACUCAGUAAUUAGGUCAGACCUCGAUUAUGACGGUCUUGUGAUCUGAAACGUACCGACAAGAGCCGGAAACCUGUACAGAUGCUGCGGCAGCGUACACACGUACCUAACAUAUUAUUAUAAUAUUAUAUUAUACGCAGGUUGUAUUUAAUACAUCUGACGGCUUAACGUGAACGGUGUACGAUCGACGGAUUCGUGUCCGGAUAGAGAAUUUAUAAGCUGUACGCUGAGCCACCGUUAAACAUUUUACAACGGGAAGAAUUUUUGGCAAUCAAGGCUUUGUACUCUAAUCAACCAAAAUUCUAUAAAAUUUAAAAACCCACAGAAAACGAAACUCGCAUAUUAUUCGUCAUCAUUCGUAAAACAGCGGAAAUCGGAAACCUCCAUCAUAAUUUAUCAAGUACGUGAUAAUUAAAAUGAACCUAUCCAAGUGAUUCAAAAACUCUAAUCAUAAUUUAACAGCAACUUGCUUGUUUUUAUAUUAUAAAGUAUUUAAUUGAUGCUGGUGUGAGAAAUAUGAUGCGGAGUAGUCACUGUAACUUAAUUCAAAGAAAAACUUAGUUCAUCAAAAACAAUCAAACUUUUUCUCUAACUUUUAGAAAAUUAAGCGUGAUCAUCGUGAAACCAAUUUUAAUGUCAAAAAACAUUGUUACACAAUUUUAUUAAUUACGUACUGCUGAGUAACUGCGUAAUAUAAAUUAGAUAACGAAUCUGUAAGAAUGGAUUCGGCCAAACAAACGGUUUCCGGGAUCUUCGUGGGUAGGACUUACAAAUAGUUAUCUUACCAAUUUGAUUUCAAUUUAAAUAUUACAUAUAAAGCAACAAAAUAACAAGUACAAAAUGUAAUAGCGAGCACCGGAUAGCGGAGUGCACGAGCUGUACGGCGUUGAAUGGACCGAUCUGAUGCGUAGAAUACAGUGAGCUCGGAUAAAUUAAGUUAAAAUCAAACAGAAUUUCUUUUGUGAGUACGAGCCUGAGCAAAGGUGCUAAAAUAAAUGGCAUUAAUAGUGUCCGGAAACAAAAAAAAAAAAAAAAAUACGGAUGACGAAUGAUAACAAAUACGUUGACGGACGCAUCGGUGUUAAUAAAAUUGCAGUACGGUGGUUGAGCGUGGUCACCGGCCGCCGGCCACAAACCAGUGGACAAUUUGACGAAUCAAAAAACACUAAUACACUUAUUUUCUGAAUGAUUUUAUAUUUCAUUAGAAAACGUUGGUAAUUAUAAUUUUAAUUUCAUCUUUUAAUAACAUACGAAUAAAUAUGCUUAAAAAUUA